GACGAACGCUGGCGGCGUGCCUAAUACAUGCAAGUAGAACGCUGAAGGAGGAGCUUGCUUCUCUGGAUGAGUUGCGAACGGGUGAGUAACGCGUAGGUAACCUGCCUGGUAGCGGGGGAUAACUAUUGGAAACGAUAGCUAAUACCGCAUAAUAGUAGAUGUUGCAUGACAUUUGCUUAAAAGGUGCAAUUGCAUCACUACCAGAUGGACCUGCGUUGUAUUAGCUAGUUGGUGAGGUAACGGCUCACCAAGGCAACGAUACAUAGCCGACCUGAGAGGGUGAUCGGCCACACUGGGACUGAGACACGGCCCAGACUCCUACGGGAGGCAGCAGUAGGGAAUCUUCGGCAAUGGACGGAAGUCUGACCGAGCAACGCCGCGUGAGUGAAGAAGGUGUUCGGAUCGUAAAGCUCUGUUGUAAGAGAAGAACGAGUGUGAGAGUGGAAAGUUCACACUGUGACGGGAUCUUACCAGAAAGGGACGGCUAACUACGU
rnacentral:rRNA from 1 species